rnacentral:lncRNA from 1 species
AAUAAUGUUAUCAUUUUGGUAAGAUUCUUCCAGACAGUAUGAUUAGGAUGUUACAUAAAUCGAACUGUGCUAUAUACAGUAUGCGGAGAAGGACAAUUCCUUAGCUUGUCUAAAGUCUGAUAGUGUGAAGAAUUUGCUGACCUGCUCUCCUUGCCUGUCUGAGCACGAGUGAAGUGAAUCAGAGAGAGACUGCAAGAUGGAGAAAGGAGGUACAGUUGGAGAGAGUGGAGGGGGCAGGAAAGACCAGACAGAGCUGCAUCUCCCAUGAAAACAACCGUGUACAUAUGAUAGAGUGAGUACAUAGAGUACAUAGAAGAGUGAGCUCUGAAAGAACUCUCACAUGGACCCCAGAAAGAGGAGUACUCAACGCCUGCUGCACAGAAGGCAUCAGCAGUAAGUACUGGCUAGAAAAGCAGAGUCCAUCAAAGGAGAGGACCACAGUGGUAGCUGGCUGUUACAAGCUAUUGAGGCACUCCAGAGUGACAGCAUGUGAUCCCCCUGACACAAGAAACAGGCCCAGAUAACACACCGUUCAGACCGACAGCAGUUCUGGUU